AUGGAUGCAACUUGUGCAUUGCCGCCGCCGCGUGGCGCACCAGAUCAGAUUUCUCGUACGUACGUGAUGACGGAUGCCAAACGUCAGCGCCUGUCUGCAUGGCCGGACCUGCCGCCGGAGCUCCUUGGCACCGUCCUCCGACGUCUCCUGUCCCUCGCAGAUCGCGUCCGUCUCCGCGCCGUGUGCCGGCCGUGGCGCGUGAAUGCCGCCGGGCUGCCCCCGUCCCACCUCCGUCUCCCUUGGCUGGCCUUCCGCGACGGCACCCUCCUUGACGUCGCCAACAACGCCGCGCACGGCGUGUGCAUCCCCGACGACGCCGUCUCCUACAGCGCCAGCGAAAACGCCUUCUUCCUCGUGCACGACGACGGCCGAUGCUCCCUGAUGGACGCCUUCUCCGGCGCUCCCGUGACACCUCUCCCCGAGCUUGCUGGUCUCCUGCGUGCUCGCGACGUGAAUGCCCGCUACGAGCUCCUGCAGCCCAUAACCAAGGUCGUGGUGUCGCCGGCGGCCUCGGCAGAGCUGGAACACCGCCUCAUCGCCGUCAUGAUCCACAACUCCACAGUCCUCCUCUCCACCUGCCGACCGGCCGGCGAGACCAACGCGUGCCUAGCGCUGGAUCACUACUUCGAAUUCUGCAUCGCCGACAUCAAGUUCUUUGCAGGGAGGAUCUACGCCGUGUCCAAGAUCUACGAGACGCUCCGCGCCCUCGACCUCAAAAACGGCCGCCUCCACGAGAUACCGGCAUCGCCACCUGGCUUUGAGAUCAUAUCCGGAGUGAGGCCCGAGUUCAUCACGAUGACUGACGAGCCUCAUCUGCAAAAAGAUCCAUGGCCGUACGGUCACAUCGUUGCCGGGCGGUAUCUAGUCGAAUGUAAUGGCAAGCUCCUCAUGGUCAGGCGGUGGGCUCGCAAACCUCUGUUGAGCUUUAGCUACUACUCGAUGACCGAAUACCAUGACGACGAUGGAUUUGGCAUUGAACGGACCCGCCGGUUCGAGGUCUUCGAGGUGGACAACAGCUACCGCCCGUGGGAGAUCUACGGCCGGUGGAAGAAGGUACGGGAUCUGGACGGUCAGGCGCUCUUCGUGUCAUCGCCAUGCUCCAGGGCUGCACCUGCCGCAGGACACGGAGCUCGAGAAGACUGCGUCUACUUCACGCAUCAGAUGGACCCACUGCAACGAGGAGAUCCACUCGGCGACUCCGGCGUGUACAGCAUGAGAGAGGGGACGAUCAAUCGGCCAUUGCUGCCUGAACCCGCGGCGCUGCCUGGGUCGCUGCUACGGUGCCAACGUUGCCCUGCAUGGGUUUUCCCCUUUGAAGCUUAA
rnacentral:rRNA from 1 species